GCCAAGGUGCAGCUGUGGGGGAACACGGGGUGUUGCUCAGGCCAGAAACCCCCUGGGACCCGGGAGAUGCAGUGGGGAUAACAGGGUCCGCGCUGGCCAGCCACAGGCAGCGUCUACCACAGACACCAGGCCAGUGGCAGCCAAGGACGCUGCCCAGCGCCACGGGUCCCCCACAGGGGCCUCCAAGGCCACACACCCUUCUCCCACAUCUACACCACCUACCGGCACCUCCCUGUCGUGUGCCCCCAGGGCCUCCCAGCUGCAGAGGGUGAGGGUCCCACACACCCAGCUCCACCCACAGGGACAGGCUGCCCCCAGACAGCAGCUUCCUGCUCCCCAACCAGGUCCAGCCACACAGCCAGGGCCCCAGAGCCACCAGCACCUCCCCUUCCCCCAAAACUGCCCCCACCCCUCCGCCCCUCCCAGCUCCCACCAGCCCCUCCACCCCACCUGCCCCUCCCAGCUCCCCAGCUCCUCUGCCCUCCUAACCCACCCCCCCAGCCCCUCCCAGCCCUUCCCAGCUCCCCAGCUCCUCCGCCCUCCUAACCACCCCCAGCCCCUCCCAGCCCCUGGCCCCUCUGCCCCUCCCAGCCCCUCCCAGCCCCUCCCAGCCCCUGGCCAGGCCCCUCACUUGGUCCAGGGCUUGCAGGCCUGGUUGUCGCCCGGGGAGAAGUGCCCUGGAGGGCAGGGGGCACAGUCUGCAACAAAGAUAGGGUGGUCAGGGGCUGCCCACAGGCCCCGGGUGCUGGGGAUAUGGGGCAGAGCCUGUGGGGCAGGCACUUGCCCCCCAUGGCCGGGUGGUGGGUUUGGCUUCUGGAAGCCCUCUCUGCCCACAUCCCACCCGUGGGCCCUGACCCGGGAGCUUGGUCUUGAGGAUGCCAGAGGAGGCACCGGUGGGGCCAGGUCCCUGCGGCCCACGGCCCAUCUGCGUCACAGACAGCCGCUAUGCACACCCCCAACCGCCGGCCGCAGCCACCGAGCUCACCAACUCCAGGCUUGUAGCUGUCCAGGGGCUGGGUGCCCGCCCGGCAGCGGCAGACCGUGUCCUGUGUGGCCGUGCACGGCUGCUUCCGCUCACUCCCACUUCCUGAGCAGGGGCCGGAUGGGGGGGUGGUCAGGUGGGGGCUGUGGACAGGGUCCUCAGGAAGGGUGGACACUGGAGGACAGGUUGGCCUCCCCACCACACAGAGGGCCAGCAGCCCCCGAGACUCCUGGGCCCUCCCUUCCUGGCCACAACCUGGGGCUGGUCCUGUAGCAGCCCCAGCCACCCUUCCCUACCCCUCCACCGCCUCCAGCUGCCAGCCCCGCCUGCGGCAGGGUCUCCAUGGCCUAACCCCUCAGCCUCACUGCUCAGGCCAGCAAGGCCAGGCCACAUGGCCAGCAUGGUCUCCCCGAGUCCACGUGGCCUGGGCCGAGUCUGGGCCCCUGGAAGGAGAGGGGGUGCCCCUGGGAGACGCCUCAGCUCCUCGAAGGACCCCAGUGGCGGAGCAGACCCCGCUGUGGUUUGAGGGCUUGCACGGCUUGGAGCUGACCACGUCGUUGUAGAAGCCCGGCCCGCACGGACGGCACACUGUGUUCUGGGAGCGGCUGCAGCGGCUCAUCAUCCCGUUGCCUGCAGCAGAGGCCGGCGUCAGGCAGCAGUCAGGCCCCAGGCUCGCGCCCGUGGACCCCCCACGCGGCUCCUCUGCUUGGCCGGCGUCAGGCAGCAGUCAGGCCCCAGGCUCGCGCCCGUGGACCCCCCACGCGGCUCCUCUGCUUGGCCGGCCCCUCGCCCGCCCCCUCCCCAGGACCAGCCUCCUGGCUGGCCCAUCCCUGCCCCAGCCCCUAGUCCCUGGAGUGCCCGUGUGUGGCGACCCCUCCUGAGGCCUCACCUGGCCUGCACUCGUGGCAGCACCGGUCGUUGCUGGGGUAGGUGUCCCCGACACAGUGGAGCCCCGUCGCGGUGCUCAGCCCCAGGCCCAGGAGGAGCAGAGCCGCACACGGCCCCCGGCCCAGCCGCCGAGCCCCCACGCACAUCCUCGUCUCUGCUGUCGCCACGGUCUGGGUUUUCCUUGCGGGGUGUGGCUAUAAGGACUGUGGAGGAGGGGAGGGGAGAGGGGAGGAGGGCAGAGGAGGCGGGAGGAGGAAGGUGGCAGGCCGGAGACCCUGGUUAUGGGCUGGGCACAAAGGCGGGGUCUGGGCAGCAUUGGCUUAUUCUGCCUUCUGACCUCUUCUGCCCAAGACCACCGUGUUCAGACCCCAGGGCACAGUAGGGCCUGGCCUGCGGCUCGACCCUCAGCAAAAAGGUCCAUGGAGCACGUGGGUAAACUGAGGCAGCACUGAGUCAGGAGAGGCAACUCUUCAGUCUGGACCUUCAGGGCUGUGGCACUGCUGGAGCAUGGUCCCCCUUGUAUGCCCAAGACUAGCUCUGAGCAGCAGUGACCACAACCAUGGUAAGACAAGACACCCGUGGCCAGGCGCUGUGGCUCACGCCUGUAAUCCCAGCACUUUGGGAGGCCAAGGCGGGUAGAUCACCGGAGGUCAGGAGUUCAAGACCAGUCUGGCCAACAUGGCGAAAUCCCAUCUCUACUAAAACUACAAAAAUUAUUCAGGCGUGGUGGCUGGCGCCUGUAAUCCCAGCUAGUCGGGAGGCUGAGGUAGCAGAAUCACUUGAACCCGGGAGACAGAGAUUGCAAAGCAGAGAUCGCGCCACUGCACUCCAGCCUGGGCGACAGAGUGAGACUCCAUCUCAAAAAAAAAAAAAAAAAGACACCCGUGACCAGGGCCCACACUGAGUGUGCCUGAGCACGGCAGGUGUCUGUGGCUGAACUGUGCCCCUUAAAUUCCUGUGUGGAAGCCCUAACCCCCAUGUGGCAGUGUUUGAAGACAGGCCUCUGGGGAGGUGGUGAGGGUGGGUCCUGGAUGGCCUGGCACACACGGGCACGCAGGCAGGUUUCCGCCUUCUAUGCAAACAGCUCUCAGGUUCCAGGGUUGCGCAGAGGACGCGAACUGCCCGGAGAGCUGGGGAGCAGGUACAGUGAGUGGGGCCCGUGCACCAUGGAGAGGGCACCCCCAGUGCAUUGCUGGCACCUGCAGUGGCCCCAGGAUGGGGCAUGGCCCUUCCUGUUUGAAGCUGCCCAGGAAGCUCAGGUCUCCUUGUCCUGGGCUUAAGGUCACAGGUCCAGGGAAGCCCCGCUGUAUCCAUGGAACCGGGUGUGGAGUGGCCACAGGAGGCUGGACACUGACCCAGAGCUCAGGACUCCCAAGGUCGGCAAGGCAGCCUGCAGCUCAAACCACAUCCCCAGGGGCUGGGCUCCCCACUCCACACAGUGGUGUCACGGGCAGCACAGAGCAGCCCGUGAGUGGCCGCUGCUCCUCUAGUACCAGAGUGGAGCUGGCCAGGGCCUCUGAAGGGCCAGGUGCCACCACAUACCCAGCUGUCCCCCCGCCGUCGUGUCCAGCACAGCAUGGCCUCAGCUCACACCUCCCACCUCUGGGUGCAGGGCCCUCAGCACAGGGUGUCGAAUGCUGCUACGGCUAUGAUGGUCCCUGGCUGUGGCCUGGGGGCCACGGAUGGGGAAAGGCAGAGUCCAGGCCACCGAAGGUUGGCUCCAGGGAAUUACAGCACCUUAGAACAGGGCAUGGGACCGUCCUCCCACCACCUGCCCUGGCCGUGGCUCUGUGAAUCUUGUUUGCCUGGGAACCAGCCCAGGUGCCAACCCGCCCUCUUGGCCCCACAGGGGCCCCUGGGCAGGUGGGCUCAGGGCGGAGGCCAGUCACAUGGGCACCGCAGGCAGACUGAGAAGGACACACUCCUGGCUUCCCUGAGCUCCCACUGGGAGAGCCAGGACACAGCCUGGGCCCCCACACGCCACAGAGCAGGACCCCCACCAGCCGUCCUAAGACACCCCAUUCUCUGCCCCAUCUGGGGCUAGGCCUGCCCCACUGCACCCAAAGACCUUGCCAUCCUCCACCCAAAACUCCCCCAGGCGGCUCUGGCUCCUGCCUUAAAUGUCCAAACCUCAAACUCAGUGGACACGUCUGCUGCCCCCUGGACCCCUACUCACAAACGCAGCGCUGCCCUCCGUCCUCCCAGAGCCCCUGCCCAUUGCCACCUGCCAGGAGAAUCACCUCGAACCGGCCAUGACCUCCAACCCUCCACGUGACCCAGCGCCAGCCUCCAGCGCUCCAGUGGAAACUGUAACCACAAAUGUAGCACGCUGGUGUUGUGUUUUGUUUCACACCCAAAGAAUGAAGCUGACCGAAAAAGGCAACUAUAUUUAAAGUAAAUUAAUGUGAUUCUUGUC